rnacentral:rRNA from 1 species
AGAGUUUGAUCCUGGCUCAGGACGAACGCUGGCGGCGUGCCUAACACAUGCAAGUCGAGCGGGGACAUGCGACGGAGACAAAGUACUCGUACGGAGUCAAAGAUGUAUGUUCUAGCGGCGGACGGGUGAGUAACGCGUGAGCAACCUGUCCCUUACAGGGGGAUAACACAGCGAAAGUUGUACUAAUACCGCAUAAGACCACGGGAUGACAUCGUCCAGGGGUCAAAGGAGCAAUCCGGUAAGGGGUGGGCUCGCGUCCGAUUAGAUAGUUGGUGAGGUAACGGCCCACCAAGUCGACGAUCGGUAGCCGACCUGAGAGGGUGAUCGGCCACAUUGGGACUGAGACACGGCCCAAACUCCUACGGGAGGCAGCAGUGGGGAAUAUUGGGCAAUGGGGGGAACCCUGACCCAGCAACGCCGCGUGAGGGAAGAAGGUUUUCGGAUCGUAAACCUCUGUCCCAGGUGAAGAGGAAGAGACGGUAGCCUGGGAGGAAGCCCCGGCUAACUACGUGCCAGCAGCCGCGGUAAUACGUAGGGGGCGAGCGUUGUCCGGAAUGAUUGGGCGUAAAGGGCGCGUAGGCGGCCCGGUAAGUCUGGAGUGAAAGUCCUGCUUUUAAGGUGGGAAUUGCUUUGGAUACUGUCGGGCUUGAGUGCAGGAGAGGUAAGUGGAAUUCCCAGUGUAGCGGUGAAAUGCGUAGAGAUUGGGAGGAACACCAGUGGCGAAGGCGACUUACUGGACUGUAACUGACGCUGAGGCGCGAAAGUGUGGGGAGCAAACAGGAUUAGAUACCCUGGUAGUCCACACUGUAAACGAUGAAUGCUAGGUGUAGGGGGUAUCGACCCCUUCUGUGCCGCAGUAAACACAAUAAGC